UUGUUUAUCUAUCAACAACCUUUCAUUUUAUACCAUAAAUUUCAAAUUUUCAGCAUAUUCAUCCACCGAAAAAUUUCUAUAAUUUGAUAUCUUUUCAAAUUAAUCCCCAAAAUAGAUAGAUUAAACUCUCUCGAUUUCAAAAAUAUAAAAAUUAGUAAAAACGGGACAAGAAAACAUACGUAAUUAAGCUUGAUUAGUUUCCUUUCUCUCUCCUAGGGUUUCCAUGCAAAU
rnacentral:lncRNA from 1 species